UUCUAUAUUUGAUAAAUGAUUUAUCAAAUGUGUUUUGAUUUAUGCAAAAUUUGUUAAAAAUAGCCUAUACUGUUCAUGUGAUAUUAACAAUAGUUUCCCUUACGUUUUUUCUAUAAAAUGGUACCAAAGCCGCUAAAGGCUAAGCUGCCAUCAAGGCUAAAUGAAGCUUAAUGCAGAAAAGGGACCAGUAGCACGAUGAGCUAAAACGUUUAUUUAAAUUGUUAUAAGAGCCUCGAGUUCUCACUAUAGCUGUCCAUCAGUUGCACGCGAUUGGCUACAAUGCUCAACGCUGCAAAGCGCGCUGUGAUUAGAAACCAGCUCUUCAGACAGAGCUUGAACACAAAUAAGCAGAGGACCGUGUAAAAGCAGCUUCGUAUCAGCUGAGGUGAGUCGAAAUAGUCUUGGGUACUGGAUCCGUGUUCUGCCCUCGCGUAUUAAUUCCCGAACCGCAAAAGACACAUGAAUAACGUAAUUAUUCCACCCGUUACAUCGUGCAGGCCUCUGUGAAGCGGUCAUGUUCCCAAAUUGGAAUGUUUAUCAUGAGCACAUCAAAGAGAGCGUUUGUCGAGAUUUUUAGUAAAUACUAAACUGCACGACGUUCCUAUGGCUCCAGAGGGCUUAAAGGGAUACUGCACCCAAAAAUGAGAAUUCUUUCACAAAAUGAGAUAUCUUGAAGAAUUUAGGAAAACAAACUGUUCUGGAGCACAUUUGACUACCAUUUAAUUUUCCUACUAUGGCAGUCAAUGAUGUUCCAGAAGUGAAAAUUACUAUCAUUCUUCCAAAUAUCUUUCUCUGUGUUUAUUGAAAUGUAUGAAAUUACACGAGGGUGAGUAAAUGAUGACAGAUUUUCACUAUCCCUUUAAAAUAAAGUGCCCACGUCAUUUGAACCACUUUUAAGACAUUACUAUGGUUCUCUGCAUUCUUUUUGCAGCUUGAAAGUCUCUGCACACUGCAACUGCAAGCAACUAACAACAUCUCCACAUUUAUACGACGGUUCACCUCAGCCGACACACGCUGAUCUCCUUGAACUGACAUCACGGUUUCAUUCAUUACAGCUCUACCUAAUAACUGGAGUUAAGAGUCUAUUUUUGGAAGGAUGUUUAAGCAGCUCAUGGUGUCUGCCUGUGGUAAAGCUCUAGUGAAUUUAGAUGUUCACAGCAGACUCAUCCACGUGCCGAGCCCAGGGGCCGGGCCGCUGCUCAUACGCCGUGCACGACCGUCAAUCAUCCGGCCUCAGCCAAUCGGAAAAGAGCAGCGUGUGUCAGUCAAAAGACACCAGCAAAUAUGAGCAAGGGAGGCGGGACAAGUGUCGAAUGAAGUGGGAGAGAGAGAGUGUGUGCGUCUGCUGUGUAUCUGUGUGUUUUGGAACAAGGCCAACACACUAUGUGCUAUUUUUAAACCUCACUGUAGGGUGGCACAAGACUCUAUUUUAUGGAAGAACCGGGUGUAUUUCCAAGCUUCAAAAAGAUCAAAAUGCUCAAUAAAACCAGAUUAAUUUAAGAAACAGGAAACUGUAAAUGUGGUCGCUACAAGAUUUGAUCAUGCACUGAUACCUCACUAACAAUCCAAGCUCAACCUUAAACUAAAACAAUUUAUAAAAAUGUUCCUUUACAACAAUAAACAAAUAAAAGAGAUUACUUUAUAUUGCAUCAGAUUACCCAACCUGAUUAACCCAACAGAGAAAUAUUUUUCACUCCAAAUAUGAAUGAUGCUUGACCAUGCAUAGCUUGCCGACACGCUAGAGUGUUCUGGGUGGUUGCCAGGGCAUUGCUAUCUGGUUGCUAUGGUGUUCGCAUACUGGUCCAUGCCAAAUUAGCCCACUCACAACUCUAUAUUAUAUUCUGGUUCAUCGUUCGUUUAUCAAUGGGAUUUUUCAUCUACUUUCUCAUCCACCGAAAUCAUAAUUCUGAUCACUUUGAAAAAAAAAAUAUUACGCUUUUAUUUAACAAGCCACACCAUCAUUCACAUUCAUAGCGCAAAUUGUGCGGGAGGAGUACAACGACGCAAAAUUUAUAGCAAAAAGAUGAAUGGUAAUGCUUAGCAACCUUCGUAAUAUAAUAAAAACAGAAGAUGGAGAAGGGAAGUGAGGAAAGGAGGGGAUGGGAGAGGAGAGGAGCGAUGACUGCAUAGGAGAGGAGUGAAAAAGAGGAAGAAAGGAGGGAUGAUAUAUGAAUAAUAGACGUACGGGAGGGGACGCAAAAGCUUGUGCAAUGUGGGCACUAUCUGUUCACAGCUGACUAGACCCACCGCUUGAGACUGAGGCAGUAAGGCAGUGGGUGAGGGGGGGUCUUGCCUACGUGACUUUCUGUGCAUACCACGUGUCCCAUCUGCCUUUCUGCAUUCCUCUUUCAAAAUAGGAGAGAGAAUGGAGGGGAGAGCACGCAUAGUAAGAGGGAAUACUAUUUUGACAGACAGACAGAAAAAGUGCAUCACAGAAACAUAAGAAAUGAGAAAGAUUCCUGUCUGACUGCCCAUAGCAACAGCACCGGUGCUGCUCAGUCUCCAUUGGACAAGGGAGCCGGCUGCAUGAUACACUAAUGUCGGCAUACCAGCCAAUCAGAGGUACCGUCUGGCUGAGCUGGAUUCCAUGCUCACCAUGGUAACAGAACUACUCACUUGAGUCAGUAAAACAUGAAGUUUGACAUUCAUGAACCACAUGUGAUCGCUGGCUCCAUGCGAAGACAAUAACCAGAUGUCAUAAAUUCAACAGUGUUUCUGUGUG